ACGAACGCUGGCGGCGUGCUUAACACAUGCACGUCGCACGGAAAGGCCCUGCUUUUGUGGGGUGCUCGAGUGGCGAACGGGUGAGUAACACGUGAGUAACCUGCCCUUGACUUUGGGAUAACUUCAGGAAACUGGGGCUAAUACCGGAUAGGAGCUCCUGCUGCAUGGUGGGGGUUGGAAAGUUUCGGCGGUUGGGGAUGGACUCGCGGCUUAUCAGCUUGUUGGUGGGGUAGUGGCUUACCAAGGCUUUGACGGGUAGCCAGCCUGAGAGGGUGACCGGCCACAUUGGGACUGAGAUACGGCCCAGACUCCUACGGGAGGCAGCAGUGGGGAAUAUUGCACAAUGGGCGGAAGCCUGAUGCAGCAACGCCGCGUGCGGGAUGACGGCCUUCGGGUUGUAAACCGCUUUCGCCUGUGACGAAGCGUGAGUGACGGUAAUGGGUAAAGAAGCACCGGCUAACUACGUG
rnacentral:rRNA from 1 species